UAAUUCAGAAUGACACCGCACAUCAAAA
rnacentral:sRNA from 1 species